UACGUAGGGGGCCAGCGUUGCUCGGAAUUACUGGGCGUAAAGCGUGCGCAGGCGGUUCGUUGUGUCGGCGGUGAAAGCCCCGGGCUCAACCUGGGAAUGGCCGUUGAAACUGGCGAACUGGAGUGUGGCAGAGGGGGGUGGAAUUCCGCGUGUAGCAGUGAAAUGCGUAGAGAUGCGGAGGAACACCGAUGGCGAAGGCAGCCCCCUGGGCUGACACUGACGCUCAGGCACGAAAGCGUGGGGAGCAAACAGG
rnacentral:rRNA from 1 species